UUAACUGUUAAGGAGAACCCUAAAAAGUUCUAAAAGCACAAAGAUUUGGUCCUGGUCUUAUUGUCAGUUAUCUCUUGAUUUACACANUGCAAGUCUCAGCACACCAGUUGAGGACGCCCNUUACCCCUUUNCUAUAGGACAAGGAGCNUGAUAUUAGGCACUUCCACCGCCCAUAACAUCUAGUCCAACCACACCCCCAAGGGUAUUCAGCAGUGAUAAACAUUNGUUUAUAAGCGACAGCUUUGACUCAGUCAAAGAGAAGAGGGCCGGCCAACCCGGUGCCAGCCGCCGCGGCUAAACCCUAGGGCCCANAAUUGAUAAUACUCGGCGUCGAAUCGUGAUUAAAGCUUUCUAAAAUUAGAGUAGAACCUAUUAUUAAGCUGUGAAAAGCAAUUUUUUUAGGGAAAAUCAGAAACGNAAAGUUACUCUAAUAUACACUUGAACACACGACAACUGGGAAACAAACUGG
rnacentral:rRNA from 1 species